CAAUCCAUCUGACUCACCAUUACACCCCCACUAAUUCACUCAACCCUCUCUUCACUUCUCUUCACUUCUUUCUACCCCACUCAGACUCCCCCAACUUCCAACACUGUCACUCUCUCUCAUUCCUCACGAGUCACUACUCUCUGCCUCUCCCAUCUGUACCCCCUUUGCAACUCUCCUUCUCCCUCUCGGUAAAAUCGAGAACCACCACCGUAAUCCCUGGAGCUUUUGCGCUGAUUCCAGUUUUUUAAUGAUUUCCAAGAAACGCAGUCUACGAUGCCUGAUCCGGCCUGAUUUGAAGAAGAUUUCUCAAGCGACUGUAAUUGUAUGGUAACCGUCUUCAGUUUUUGGGUUUGAACGCUAGAACCAGUGAUCUUUGAAGAAGAUCAAAGGGGUCAAGCGGUGGAGGAGUGGGUUAAUAGUUAUGUGUUCUUCUUGAUAAUUGUAUGUGUUUAUGCCCUCAUGAUAUUGUGAGAUAUCAUGGGAUUGUUUGUGAUCUGAUUAAAUAGAUAGUAUGCUUUUCAACAUUA